rnacentral:rRNA from 1 species
CGCUAUCACUCCUACGGGGAGGCAGCAGUGGGGAAUAUUGGACAAUGGGGGAAACCCUGAUCCAGCAAUGCCGCGUGUGUGAAGAAGGCCUUCGGGUUGUAAAGCACUUUCAAUAGGGAGGAAAGCUAUGCGUUAAUAGCGUAUAGCCGUGACGUUACCUAUAGAAGAAGCACCGGCUAACUCCGUGCCAGCAGCCGCGGUAAUACGGAGGGGUGCAAGCGUUAAUCGGAAUUACUGGGCGUAAAGCGCGCGUAGGCGGUUUGCUAAGUCAGAUGUGAAAUCCCCGGGCUCAACCUGGGGAAUGGCAUUUGAGACUGGUAGGCUAGAAUGUGGUAGAGGUGAGUGGGAAUUCCAGGUGUAGCGGUGAAAUGCGUAGAGAUCUGGAGGAACAUCAGUGGCGAAGGCGACUCACUGGGCCAUUAUUGACGCUGAGGUGCGAAAGCGUGGGUAGCAAACAGGAUUAGAUACCCUGGUAG